AUGUCAUUGUCAAUCGGAGGCGGAGGGGGAGGCGGCGCGGCUUUGGCCAAAGGGGACGUUGCUGGCCUUCUGGACAAGGCCGAGGAGCUGGACCAGCUGCGGAAGGAGCAGGACGAUGUGGCCACCGAGAUCAAUAAGAUCCACAAGAAUAUCAUCUCCUAUAAGCAAUUUGCUCGAGGCCCGUCUCCCUUUUCCAUGCUAUCAUUUGUCUGGUUGUCAUUUAGGUCGAUUUGA
rnacentral:rRNA from 1 species